UAAUACGGAGGGUCCAAGCGUUAUCCGGAUUUAUUGGGUUUAAAGGGUCCGUAGGCGGGUUAAUAAGUCAGUGGUGAAAUCCUACAGCUCAACUGUAGAACUGCCAUUGAAACUGUUAACCUUGAAUAUAAUUGAAGUAGGCGGAAUGUGUCAUGUAGCGGUGAAAUGCUUAGAUAUGCCACAGAACACCGAUUGCGAAGGCAGCUUACUAAGUUAUUAUUGACGCUGAGGGACGAAAGCGUGGGUAGCGAACAGGAUUAGAUACCCUGGUAGUCCACGCCGUAAACGAUGUAUACUCGUUGCUAGCGAUACACAGUUAGUGACCAAGCGAAAGUAUUAAGUAUACCACCUGGGGAGUACGAUCGCAAGAUUG
rnacentral:rRNA from 1 species